UACAGAGGGUGCGAGCGUUGUCCGGAAUCACUGGGCGUAAAGGGCGCGUAGGUGGCGCUGCAAGUCGGUGGUGAAAGCUCGAUGCUUAACAUCGAGUCGGCCAUCGAAACUGCAGGGCUCGAGCACUGUAGGGGCAGAUGGAAUUCCGGGUGUAGCGGUGGGAUGCGUAGAGAUCCGGAAGAACACCGGUGGCGAAGGCGGUCUGCUGGGCAGUUGCUGACACUGAGGCGCGACAGCGUGGGGAGCAAACAGG
rnacentral:rRNA from 1 species